AUGUUUUCCCUUAAUAAAAUUCUCAGUUUUUUAAUUGUCAUGCAUUUAUAUUAUUUGUAUAUAUUUUUAAUUAUCUAUAUUGUUAUCAUCUGUGACAAAAAAGAAACACUACUAAAAAAACAUUUUACUUUGAAAGUGAAUCCAUUUAUUCUUCGAUUUUUAAAACACCGAGAAGAAAAUGCUUAUGCAUAUGAGUUUGAACCCCAACUUAUACAAUUUUAA